CAUGAGGUUUGAGGUCAAGAGACGCUUCCUCCUUGGGUUUCUUGUGCUUGUUUAUACCCUGUUCCUUGGAUGCAGCUUGUUUGUCGCUGGCGAGAAAAUGGAGAAGUUUGUUCAUGCAAGAGAUGCAGAAGAAUUGUCUGGAGAUCAACCACCUCCACCCUCUAGGAUGGACAAUCGCCGAGUAUCCAAACCGCCGCCGCCAACUCCUAGUACGUCCAAUGGGCCGAUUCCCUAAUAGGCAUUCCCUAUAUUUCAUCUAUUAGAUAUAUGUUGUGUUAAAGAACAUGUUUUCCAUAUAAUUGUGAUCGGAUAUGGUAAGAGAAUAUAUGAAAUUGUACAAUUUGAUUAUAAUGAUUUGAUUGUUUUUCAUACUUUUUUGUAUGCUCCCAGCAUAUCUAUAAAUAAGAAUUACUUAUAUUGUAAAUUCAUCAAAAGAAAUAAGAACUUAUAUAUAAUAUAGUAAUUUGAGCUUUAUCUUA